rnacentral:rRNA from 1 species
CCCUUAGAUGUUCUGGGCCGCACGCGCGCUACACUGAUGCAUUCAACGAGUCCAACCUUGACCGAGAGGUCCGGGUAAUCUUUGAAACUGCAUCGUGAUGGGGCUAGAUUAUUGCAAUUAUUAAUCUUCAACGAGGAAUGCCUAGUAAGCGUGAUUCAUCAAAUCGCGUUGAUUACGUCCCUGCCCUUUGUACACACCGCCCGUCGCUCCUACCGAUUGAGUGUGUUGGUGAGGAGUUUGGAUUGGCCUCGGAAGGUGGUUCGCCCCCGUCCGUAGCUGAGAAGUUCUCCAAACCGCCCCACUUAGAGGAAGGAGAAGUCGUAACA